rnacentral:rRNA from 1 species
AUUGAACGCUGGCGGCAGGCCUAACACAUGCAAGUCGAGCGGAUGAAGGGAGCUUGCUCCUGGAUUCAGCGGCGGACGGGUGAGUAAUGCCUAGGAAUCUGCCUGGUCGUGGGGGAUAACGUCCGGAAACGGGCGCUAAUACCGCAUACGUCCUGAGGUAGAACGUGGGGGAUCUUCGGACCUCACGCUAUCAGAUGAGCCUAGGUCGGAUUGGCUAGUUGGUGGGGUAAAGGCCUACCAAGGCGACGAUCCGUAACUGGUCUGAGAGGAUGAUCAGUCACACUGGAACUGAGACACGGUCCAGACUCCUACGGGAGGCAGCAGUGGGGAAUAUUGGACAAUGGGCGAAAGCCUGAUCCAGCCAUGCCGCGUGUGUGAAGAAGGUCUUCGGAUUGUAAAGCACUUUAAGUUGGGAGGAAGGGCAGUAAGUUAAUACCUUGCUGUUUUGACGUUACCAACAGAAUAAGCACCGGCUAACUUCGUG